GACGAACGCUGGCGGCGUGCCUAAUACAUGCAAGUCGAGCGAAUCGAUGGGAGCUUGCUCCCUGAGAUUAGCGGCGGACGGGUGAGUAACACGUGGGUAACCUGCCUGUAAGACUGGGAUAACUUCGGGAAACCGGAGCUAAUACCGGAUACUUUCUUUUCUCGCAUGAGGGAAGAUGGAAAGAUGGUUCUGCUAUCACUUACAGAUGGACCCGCGGCGCAUUAGCUAGUUGGUGAGGUAACGGCUCACCAAGGCGACGAUGCGUAGCCGACCUGAGAGGGUGAUCGGCCACACGGGGACUGAGACACGGCCCAGACUCCUACGGGAGGCAGCAGUAGGGAAUCUUCCGCAAUGGACGAAAGUCUGACGGAGCAACGCCGCGUGAGCGAAGAAGGCCUUCGGGUCGUAAAGCUCUGUUGUUAGGGAAGAACAAGUACGAGAGUAACUGCUCGUACCUUGACGGUACCUAACCAGAAAGCCACGGCUAACUGCGUGCCAGCCGCCGCCGUAACAC
rnacentral:rRNA from 1 species